UUGACCUCGGAUCAGGUAGGGAUACCCGCUGAACUUAAGCAUAUCAAUAAGCGGAGGAAAAGAAACCAACAGGGAUUGCCUCAGUAACGGCGAGUGAAGCGGCAAGAGCUCAAAUUUGAAAGCUGGCUCCUUCGGGGUCCGCAUUGUAAUUUGCAGAGGAUGCUUCGGGAGCGGCCCCCAUCUAAGUGCCCUGGAACGGGCCGU
rnacentral:rRNA from 1 species